rnacentral:rRNA from 1 species
AACUCUAAGCCAUUAUUUAAAGCUACGCCUGCUCCAUGACAUAAAUAGCCGCAGAUCAACUGUGCUAAGGUAGCAUAAUCAUUAGCCCUUUAAUUAAGGGAUCGUAUGAACGGCCACACGAAUCGUCUCCUGUCUCCGACACUUUUAAUAAACCUAAUUUAAGAGUAAAAAAGCUCCUAUAAGCUAACAAGACGAUAAGACCCUGUCAAACUUCUACCUUUAGUUCAACUGGGGCGGUUAAAUAACUAUACCUUAUUCUAUCUCACCCACAAAUCCAAACCAUUUGACCACGAACCAAGUUACUGCAGGGAUAACAGCGCAAUACUUUUUUAGAGAUCUAAUCCAAAAAAGACCUUACGACCUCGAUGUUGAAUUAAACCCCUUUUUCACGCAAGAGUAAAAAAAGGAAGUCUGUUCGACUUUUAAAUAUUU